rnacentral:tRNA from 1 species
AGCGGGGGAGCAAGCCCAGUCCCCGAAGAGGGAGAUGUCGGGGGUUCGAGUCCCUCUCCCGCUACCA